UCCAGUGGUAGUCAGCUGUCCAGUGCUUCCCAUGCCUGUGACUGUGUUACACUGCUGGCAGAUAAAGGCACUACUGUCUCAUGUUGGUGGGCACGUCGCUGUUCUGGUGACAUGUCACUGCUAGCAUUUAGUAGUGUUGGGAUUUCUUGAGAGUGUGCCACACAGGAUCGUCUGUUUGGUGCUAGUCUGCAAUCCCACAGA